NNNNNNAAAAGUUCUGUAGAAGGGUUGGAUCCGACGCCCCUAGAAGGCAAUAUUCUCAACUCCUACUCAAUACGUCCACGACGUGCAGAACAGUAACUUGUCGCCUAGAUAUCCAAGCUUGGGUACACGGGGAAACCCAACCCCUUGGGCGGAUGGGCGGCAAGGCUGAAUUGAGAGGU
rnacentral:ribozyme from 1 species